rnacentral:rRNA from 1 species
GCUUAACACAUGCAAGUCGAACGGUCUCUUCGGAGAUAGUGGCGGACGGGUGAGUAACGCGUGAGAAUCUGGCUCUAGGUCGGGGACAACAGUUGGAAACGACUGCUAAUACCGGAUGUGCCGAGAGGUAAAAGGCUUGCUGCCUAAGAUGAGCUCGCGUCUGAUUAGCUAGUUGGUGUGGUAAGAGCGCACCAAGGCGACGAUCAGUAGCUGGUCUGAGAGGAUGAUCAGCCACACUGGGACUGAGACACGGGCCCAGACUCCUACGGGAGGCAGCAGUGGGGAAUUUUCCGCAAUGGGCGAAAGCCUGACGGAGCAAUACCGCGUGAGGGAGGAAGGCUCUUGGGUUGUAAACCUCUUUUCUCAAGGAAUAAGUUCUGAAGGUACUUGAGGAAUAAGCAUCGGCUAACUCCGUGCCAGCAGCCGCGGUAAUACGGAGGAUGCAAGCGUUAUCCGGAAUGAUUGGGCGUAAAGGGUCCGCAGGUGGCAAUGUAAGUCUGCUGUCAAAGAAUGAGGCUCAACCUCAUCAAGGCAGUGGAAACUACGUAGCUAGAGUACGGUCGGGGUAGAAGGAAUUCCUGGUGUAGCGGUGAAAUGCGUAGAGAUCAGGAAGAACACCGGUGGCGAAAGCGUUCUGCUAGGCCUGUACUGACACUGAGGGACGAAAGCUAGGGGAGCGAAUGGGAUUAGAUACCCCAGUAGUCCUAGCCGUAAACGAUGGAUACUAGGCGUGGCUUGUAUCUACCCGAGCCGUGCCGGAGCCAACGCGUUAAGUAUCCCGCCUGGGGAGUACGCACGCAAGUGUGAAACUCAAAGGAAUUGACGGGGGCCCGCACAAGCGGUGGAGUAUGUGGUUUAAUUCGAUGCAACGCGAAGAACCUUACCAAGACUUGACAUGUCGCGAAUCCUCUUGAAAGAGAAGAGUGCCUUCGGGAGCGCGAACACAGGUGGUGCAUGGCUGUCGUCAGCUCGUGUCGUGAGAUGUUGGGUUAAGUCCCGCAACGAGCGCAACCCUCGUUUUUAGUUGCCAGCAUUAAGUUGGGCACUCUAGAGAGACUGCCGGUGACAAACCGGAGGAAGGUGGGGAUGACGUCAAGUCAGCAUGCCCCUUACGUCUUGGGCUACACACGUACUACAAUGCUCCGGACAGAGGGCAGCAAGCUAGCGAUAGCAAGCAAAUCCCGUAAACCGGAGCUCAGUUCAGAUCGCAGGCUGCAACUCGCCUGCGUGAAGGAGGAAUCGCUAGUAAUUGCAGGUCAGCAUACUGCAGUGAAUUCGUUCCCGGGCCUUGUACACACCGCCCGUCACACCAUGGAAGCUGGCAACGCCCGAAGUC